CUUUGAAGUGUGGACGCCAGUCUGCAUGGAGCCGACCUUGAAAUACCACCCUUUAAUGUUUGAUGUUCUAACGUUGACCCGUAAUCCGGGUUGCGGACAGUGUCUGGUGGGUAGUUUGACUGGGGCGGUCUCCUCCUAAAGAGUAACGGAGGAGCACGAAGGUUGGCUAAUCCUGGUCGGACAUCAGGAGGUUAGUGCAAUGGCAUAAGCCAGCUUGACUGCGAGCGUGACGGCGCGAGCAGGUGCGAAAGCAGGUCAUAGUGAUCCGGUGGUUCUGAAUGGAAGGGCCAUCGCUCAACGGAUAAAAGGUACUCCGGGGAUAACAGGCUGAUACCGCCCAAGAGUUCAUAUCGACGGCGGUGUUUGGCACCUCGAUGUCGGCUCAUCACAUCCUGGGGCUGAAGUAGGUCCCAAGGGUAUGGCUGUUCGCCAUUUAAAGUGGUACGCGAGCUGGGUUUAGAACGUCGUGAGACAGUUCGGUCCCUA
rnacentral:rRNA from 1 species